CCUACGGGUGGCUGCAGUGGGGAAUAUUGGACAAUGGGGGGAACCCUGAUCCAGCCAUGCCGCGUGUGUGAAGAAGGCCCUCGGGUUGUAAAGCACUUUCAGUGAUGAAGAACGCCUGGUGGUUAAUACCCAUCAGGAAAGACAUCACUCACAGAAGAAGCACCGGCUAACUCCGUGCCAGCAGCCGCGGUAAUACGGAGGGUGCGAGCGUUAAUCGGAAUUACUGGGCGUAAAGCGCGCGUAGGUGGCUUGAUAAGCCGGUUGUGAAAGCCCCGGGCUCAACCUGGGAACGGCAUCCGGAACUGUCAAGCUAGAGUGCAGGAGAGGAAGGCAGAAUUCCCGGUGUAGCGGUGAAAUGCGUAGAGAUCGGGAGGAAUACCAGUGGCGAAGGCGGCCUUCUGGACUGACACUGACACUGAGGUGCGAAAGCGUGGGUAGCAAACAGGAUUAGAUACCCUUGUAGUC
rnacentral:rRNA from 1 species